UACGGGGGGGGCAAGCGUUGUUCGGAAUUACUGGGCGUAAAGGGCUCGUAGGUGGCCAACUAAGUCAGACGUGAAAUCCCUCGGCUUAACCGGGGAACUGCGUCUGAUACUGGAUGGCUUGAGUUUGGGAGAGGGACGCGGAAUUCCAGGUGUAGCGGUGAAAUGCGUAGAUAUCUGGAGGAACACCGGUGGCGAAGGCGGCGUCCUGGACCAAUACUGACGCUCAGGCACGAAAGCGUGGGGAGCAAACAGG
rnacentral:rRNA from 1 species